rnacentral:rRNA from 1 species
GACGAACGCAGGCGGCGUGCUUAACACAUGCAAGUCGAACGGAAAGGCCCUGCUUGUGUGGGGCGCUCGCGUGGCGAACGGGUGAGUAACACGUGAGUAAGCUGCCCUUGACUCUGGGAUAACCUCAGGAAACUGGGGCUAAUACCGGAUAGGAGCUCCCGCUGCAUGGUGGCGGUUGGAAAGUUUCGGCGGUUGGGGAUGGACUCGCGGCUUAUCAGCUUGUUGGUGGGGUAGUGGCUUACCAAGGCUUUGACGGGUAGCCGGCCUGAGAGGGUGACCGGCCACAUUGGUCCUGAGAAACCGCCGAGUACCGUACUGGAGGCCAAAGUGAAGAGUAUAACACAGUGGGAUGACGCCUGAUGCAUUAACGUCGCGUGGGCGAGAGCGGCCUGCGGGUGGUAAUCUGCUCACGCUUGUGACGAACCUAAAGCGACGGUCCUGGGUAAGUAGCCAUCGGCUAAGGGCGUG